AAAAACACUUAUGUAAUGAUGAAUUUUGUGCGUGGACAAGUGAAACGUAAAUGUACUUGUCCAAAGGACAAGUGCCUCAAAAAGUUAAUGUCAAGCCCUGCUGUCUGUAUUUAGGCAGUAGUAAUAUCACAUUAUGAUCUGACAGACCAAGGGCAGGACGGGGCUCGGAUACAUAUGCACCUGGAAUGUUUCCAAAAC